rnacentral:lncRNA from 10 species
CAGAGGAGCGCUGUUUCUGGAGGAGUUAGGGGAAGGAGGCUGCCUGGUAAGCCAGGAAAGGGGCUUCUGGCCGUUCUGUUGGAGCGCCUCUGACUGACUUCCCCCAUGUGUCCGUGUGGCCACACCGUGCUACUUUCAGAGGCAGUGGGCUUUUCGCUAAGGGAUAAAAAGAAGUAAAACCUUGCCUUUAGCGCAGCUCUCCUUCACUGGGCAGAUUGCUCUCCCUCCCCACUCUCCCAGGCCCAAAUUGGAUCUCAGCGCCUGGGAGCUCCAACUUUAGCAAGUGCGAAAUCCUGUCUUCGGUUUUGGAAUUUUCAUCCGCACAGACUAUAUCAGCCACGGAUAGGAUAUGUGAGAAUACCAGCAUGUCAAGGCUGGGAAUCAUCCUUAGGCAUCACCUAGCCAGUCCUGCCUCUCAUUUUAAGAGAAUAGACGCCUUGAUGGCUCCUCUGGCAGUUCUUGAUGACCAUGGAUGAGCUAAUGGCUGUGGUCUCAAUGGUGGCUUCUUGAGGAGCAUGCAGAGAAAUUGCUUUAGCCUCUGAUAAAUAAAACAGACUGCGAGGAAAAUUACAGCGAGGAAAUUACAGACAUCAUCUCCUUUGAACAGGGAAAAGGUAACAGGUUGUAAUUGCAGUGGAAGGGGAGACCAAACAUUCAAAGAUUGCUGAAGAGCCAACGAACUCUGAUUCUGUCAAGAUGAUGUCUUUGAUUUCUUUCACAAACUUCAGUGGCACAGCCUUUAGCUGGAAAAUGCAAGAAGACAUAUGUAGAUGAGACAAAGAUAGACCAUGUCUAUACAUGUAUGAAAUGGAUGGGAGACAAAGGAAGCAACACUCAUGAGCCAGGACCAUAAAAGCCACAGAAAUAUAAGAAAUGAAUGGGACUACUCUCUGAUCAUUGAAAAAGAGAGACAGAACAUUCGAUGGAGGCAGAAAGAGCAAGGAGUCAGGUAAAGGGGUACUACAUAAGUAUGUAUUUUUCAGCCUGUGAAAUACCUUUCAGAGGUGUAAGCUCCACUUUUUCUGGAACCUGAGGUUUUUCAGGAACUUUCUUCUUUGGAAUAGCUUUAAAGAAUAUGAUUUUACUUUUGUUAUUUGUAUAUUUAAUCUGAAGCAAGUGAUUAACUUUCUACUCCAAGAAUCAAAACCAAGCUUUGCUUAUAACCAGAAAGCAUUAAUAACAGCCAAGAACAGCCUUCAAAGAACAUACAAGCAGCAUUCGAACCAUGAAAACAGACUGCAGUUUUACUCCAAAGUUCAGUAGUUAAUUAAAGACCAGCAGAAAAAGAAGACAAUUUUUGUUAUUGGCAGGAGGAAGAAAUUUUCCUUUAAGCAUAUAUUUUACAUUAAGGGAAAUGUAUUUAUGUGUGUGUCUUCAUGGAGUGUCAAUUAACAGAUGGGUGGCCUUUCAAGAGGUGCCAGAAGGUCCCCCUAAUGGCUAUGAGGGUUGUAGAGGGCAAGAAUCACCAGCAGCAAUGUCUUAUGCUGGAAGACUGUGGUUUGAAGAUACAUAGGUCUGUAUAGGGAAAGUGCAUAUCUAAGAUUAUAUCUAGAUAAUUUUAGAUUGGGGAAUCAUAUGACGUCACAAGACAACUUUUUAUUAAAAUAAGAAUAAUAUGUUUCUGCCAGUUUAUUUCAGCUUUUAAAGAAACUGAUAUUUUUAAAAUUAAGUAACAUUGUGUCAAUUCAUAGAAAAAUCAAAAUAUAAGAAGGGGGAAGGGAAGUUUAAUAAUAAAUGCUGGAUACCAAAUGUCUUCAUAACCACUCUUUCCAGCUCCCCUGAGAACCACACAGAACACUUCUUUAAGUUGCAAGAAAAAAAAAGAGAUGGGGGAACUGUAACAAGUCAUUCAUAUGCUUUCCUUUCAUGAUAUAUAGGCACAUAUCAGCUACUGGAAAUCAUAACUAUAUUACUUGUAAUAUAUUUAAAAGCACAUGCAAUUCUUUAAGAACAAAGUUUUGGCUUUUAUGUAAAUGUGUUACUGCAAUAUUAAAAAUAUCUUGCAAGGAUUUCUUAUACAUUCCUUAAGCAUAAGAUCGCAAUGAUAUGUAUAGCAAUCAGGCUUUGAAAUCAGAAAACUCUUUCUCCCCACUCCACAAAAGAAAGUUAAUUGGACAGUGCCUGCAUUCAGAUAUCCCGGAUGACGCUAUCAAUGUACUUUCUGACUUUUGCAGCAGCAGGCAUGGCAUGACAAGCAACCCAGGAACCAUGGGGCAGCAGAAGAGACAGCUCUAUGCAAUCUCAC